GGGCAGGUGGCAGAGCGGUCAAAUGCACGAGACUGUAAAUCUCGCGCCCUUGUGGCUACGAAGGUUCGAAUCCUUCCCUGCCCA
rfam:Candidatus Kaiserbacteria bacterium RIFCSPHIGHO2_01_FTLL_54_36b rifcsphigho2_01_scaffold_46069, whole genome shotgun sequence.